CCUUAAUAUCUUCCCAUCACUACUGGCUCUUACACUCUUUCUGCUUCCUCUUCCACAGAGUUCCCUGCGCCCUAAGGAGAGGGAUUUGGUGGAGACACCCCAUUUAAGACGGAGUGCUAAGAUUGCUCACUAUCUGCGCAUGUUCUUGUUGUGUCUGCAUCCGUUCCCAUCUACCGCAAACGGAAACUUCUCUGAUGAUCCCAAGCAAGAUACCGGUCUGAUUCCCAGGCUGGCAUGGCCUGCCGGGUUCUGGGUAGUGAGUGUCCUUAGGUACCGGCAGCUGACACAAAGGGAUGGUGUGAAGGAAUUAGGCCAAUUCCUUGAGGGGAUCUUCCGAGUCUCCAGGGAAAGGAGGAACAAUUUAUGGAAGGCUUCGGAAGACCACAGCCCACCACAACAGGGAGAAUGGUGGAAUGAUGUAGUCUGUGGAAGUUGCGCUGUGCAAAUGACUAUUCACAUGGCACUAGACCAGGAGCCACCCCUCCCCCCAAGUCCCUUUCCUCCACUUCUUUCAUGUCCCAGCCUUCAAUUAGCUGCCUCACUUUUUGAGACAAGGUCUCUUACUAGCUGCUCUGAGGCUAGUGAUUCAAAGAGGCUGGCUGGCCAGUUGUGACCCAAGGACCUGCCACGUCCACAUCUCCAGUGCUCAGAUUUCAAGCACCCACCACCACAGCCAACUUUUUUAUAUGAGCUUCUGACGGAUGAAAAACUGAGCUUCUCAUGUUUGCAAGAUUGGCUACAGUUCCUGGAAUCAUACCCAGAGCGCAGUAAACACCUGGCAAAUAAAUAAACGUCCUCUCCAGAGGGGUUUGGUGCUCCAGGAUGUUCUGGAAAGUCCUCUCUGCUAGAUGCCAAAGUCUGCUCAUGGGGCGCUCUAAGGAAGUCUGCUUCCAAGUUCACGUCCAGAGGAAGCUGCUCAAGGAGACUUUACAAGGACAGAGUGAAGUAGCCCCUGGAUAAUUUCUUCAGUUAAGGGAAUUGGCGUGAUCUCAGAAUAAAUCAGGUGUCCAAUACACAGAA